AGGCCGUUAUUUGCCUCUAUCUUGGUUGGAGCCGUUCCGCUAUUCGCGGGUAAGGGAUAGGCUCGAUGACAGAUGCAGUUGGAUAAUGGAGCACGUGUUAAACGUGCAGCUUAGCUGUUAAGCUAAGGCUGAAUGAGUUAUUAUGCUCGGAUAGUCGAGCACGUGAUUAGCGUGAAGCUAAUCUGUUAUGUCGAGCAGAACACGUCAAGGCUGACGUGUCGGGGAAACCUCCCCUUAUUGGGCUGUGCCCCAAAUGUCGGGCAUAAGUGAUUGGGCCAGCUCUUGGCCCAGUCCAGAACAGGAGCCCCCCAAGUCGUUGCUCCUAGCUAUAGGAGUAAUGACUUAAGGUACAUGCCCGUAUGUCGAGGAGAGUUCAUAUGUUGUUAAUAAAUUUCUCAAUAGUAUGACGAGGAGGAUUUUACAAAGGGGAAGUUUCUCUUUGCCCGUAACACGCGUGCCACGAUGUACGAGGAGAGGAUUUUACCCUUUUCUUUGUCGAGGGCAUAUUGUGGUAAUUGUAUGUUUGUUAAUGCUGCGCGUUUUAGCGGGCACAUUUUGUGGCGUUUGUUUCACUUGUCCGUAACUCGCGUUUGCUCCUUGUGUCGAGGAGACAAUUACGUUGGUGAUAACGAUGAGCCCCUCGAGAGACGCGUGGUCUGUUCGAUGGGAUGUGAAAGGACAGACGUUUCGUCUGAUGUUGCCACGUGUGUGGGCUAUCAACAGACGCAAUGAUGACAUUGGGAGUAUGCGUUUUUUGCUUCGUUUUCCGAGGAGGUUUAUUAGCCAUUGGAUUCAUCGUGUCGUUUGGUUUAUAGUGAGAUUCAAUCAGAGCCAUUUGAUGCUUUUAAUCGGGACCGUUGAAUUUUAAUCAACGGUUGUGACACGAUGGGGUGUAUCCCUUUGCAAUGCAGGUGAAGAGACCUGGACAGAUUAUAAAUAGAGGAGGAAGGGCUCACUUUCAAAGUUUCCAAUUUCCCUUCCCUCUAUUGCGUUGUUGCUGCUGCUUCCAAAGGUUUUAGGCCCUAAGUUCAAACUUCAAGGUUCCAGAUCUCCAUUCAAAGGCUCUUCAUUUUUACUUAAGACAGGUAAACACCUUUUCUCUU
rnacentral:lncRNA from 1 species